rnacentral:rRNA from 1 species
ACAUGCAGUCGAACGAUGAUGCCCAGCUUGCUGGGUGGAUUAGUGGCGAACGGGUGAGUAACACGUGAGUAACCUGCCCCUGACUCUGGGAUAAGCGUUGGAAACGACGUCUAAUACUGGAUAUGAUCACUGGCCGCAUGGUCUGGUGGUGGAAAGAUUUUUUGGUUGGGGAUGGACUCGCGGCCUAUCAGCUUGUUGGUGAGGUAAUGGCUCACCAAGGCGACGACGGGUAGCCGGCCUGAGAGGGUGACCGGCCACACUGGGACUGAGACACGGCCCAGACUCCUACGGGAGGCAGCAGUGGGGAAUAUUGCACAAUGGGCGAAAGCCUGAUGCAGCAACGCCGCGUGAGGGAUGACGGCCUUCGGGUUGUAAACCUCUUUUAGUAGGGAAGAAGCGAAAGUGACGGUACCUGCAGAAAAAGCACCGGCUAACUACGUGCCAGCAGCCGCGGUAAUACGUAGGGUGCAAGCGUUGUCCGGAAUUAUUGGGCGUAAAGAGCUCGUAGGCGGUUUGUCGCGUCUGCUGUGAAAUCCCGAGGCUCAACCUCGGGCUUGCAGUGGGUACGGGCAGACUAGAGUGCGGUAGGGGAGAUUGGAAUUCCUGGUGUAGCGGUGGAAUGCGCAGAUAUCAGGAGGAACACCGAUGGCGAAGGCAGAUCUCUGGGCCGUAACUGACGCUGAGGAGCGAAAGCAUGGGGAGCGAACAGAUUAGAUACCCUGGUAGUCCAUGCCGUAAACGUUGGGCGCUA